UACGAAGGGGGCUAGCGUUGUUCGGAUUUACUGGGCGUAAAGCGCACGUAGGCGGAUUGUUAAGUCAGGGGUGAAAUCCCGGAGCUCAACUCCGGAACUGCCUUUGAUACUGGCAAUCUUGAGGCUGGAAGAGGUUAGUGGAAUUCCCAGUGUAGAGGUGAAAUACGUAGAGAUUGGGAAGAACACCAGUGGCGAAGGCGGCUAUCUGGACGGUUUCUGACGCUAAGACGCGAAAGCGUGGGGAGCAAACAGG
rnacentral:rRNA from 1 species